GGAGGCGUGUUCCGAACUGGCUAAGGGGCCGGUCUUGAAAACCGGUGGGGGUUACACCCCCGUGUGGGUUCGAGUCCCACCGCCUCCGCCA
rnacentral:tRNA from 4 species